AUGGAGACGCUGGUCUCAGCAAGGAUGACGACGAUGACAUGGAGAAUGUGCAAACAGGACACCGAUGACGCUGAACAUGCUGAAGUUCGUGCAGGUGGUAACAAGGGCAAGGAUGCAACAGAUGUCCCCCCACCAGAGAAAGUCAAAGAACAUACGGCUGCGAGAGGCGUGGGGGUGUUGCCAUCAAAGAGGGGGAGGGCUCCAGAGGAUGUUGGGCAGGGUUCUCCUGGCAAGAGGUCUAGGACCGAUCCCGUAGCUGCCAGGAGGAGCGAGCCGAUAGCUGGUGGACGAGCAAUUAAGAAGUAA
rnacentral:rRNA from 1 species